AGCUAUAUCUAUUAGUGUACUAUAUUGAGGCAGAAAAAAUUUUUAGCCUAUGCCCCCCUCUUGGUUCGUUUCUGAGUCCGCCAGUGCUGUGUUUGUAGAGAAGGAGUUCCUAGCCACCGGUUCCUGUUCGUGCACGUGAAAGAGAAAAUCGUCCAUGGACAUGGUAAGCACAUGUGCUACUACUAAUUAUAGCUAUGGGGCCUGCACUUUAUGGAGGCAUGCACGCUUGGUCAUUUUUUUUGUGCUUACUCUUGAGAAGGAAAUGGUGUGAGCAGUGGCCUGGUGACCACUCGGUGGUUUGCAUGCAUGUAUAUGUAAAACACUUUGAGAAAAUAAGGUAACUAUUGACUUUUGCUAUUUAUAGUAUAAGGUUCACUCAAGUAUAAGAAGAUAUAAAAUUGUUUUGAGGUGUAGCUUGUCUAUUUAGAAAGGAGAGUGGUGGACGUGCAUGAGUGGUAGACGUGCAUGAGUUGCUGCAUACUACUGCUUUUCUUAAACGUAUGGGGCCCGCAUGUACUAAGGAGGAGGCAGAGUUUCUGCCGUUGCCCGCUCUGAGUGCUUGGGGCUCGCGUGUCGUAGACAGGAAGGACAGGCCGCUCCCUCCAUGGGGCCCGUGUCAGGCUCCUGUGCCAUUGGCCUGUAGCCGUUGUGGGCUGUGGCCGUGCACACGAGACCGAGCUUGACCAGCUCGGGAUAAGGUCAGGUCUCCUUUCUUCCUCUCUCUCUAGAACAUGGAACAAAAUACUCUCUUAUUCUUCUUCCUAGGGAGCUCUCUCCAUUGCUAUACGAUCGAUCUUUAGUUCCCAUCGGGGAAGGGCUUUAGCUUCGCAUCCCGAGUUAGGACUAAGCUUCUAGAACUAGAGGCCUCUCUUUUAGUCCCGUUACAAGGCAGCGAAGCUAAAGCCCCGCCUUUAGUCCCGGUUGGUAUUACCAGCCGGGAUAAAGAGUACUGCCAGCGGUACCAUGCAGCAGCACCCUUCAGUCUCGGCUAGUAAUACCAACCAGGACCUUUUCUGGUUUUUUUUUUCUUUUCUUUUUCGUUUUGUUUUUAGUUUUGUUUAUUCAUUUAAUAGGUUUUCCAAUAUGUAUUCUUUGCUGCUAAUAUAUAUAUAUACAAGUGCUAUUCUACACCCAAGGUGUAGAAUACUAUUCUACACCAAACUGUUAUACUGAACAAAAUUCAGUAUUAUUCAGUACUCGUAUUUUAGUAUUGUUCAGUAUUUCGUGGUCCUGAGUGUACGACUCGAUGAUACUAAACGUUGUUCAGUAUUGGUCAAUAUUUUUUCUGCUCAGUUUUGACUUACGGUGUAGAAUAAUAUUCUAGCGUUGCCAUAUAUAUAUAUAUAUAUAUGGCAACGCUAGAAUAUUAUAUAUAUAUAUAUAUAUAUAUAUAUAUAUUAGCAGCAUAUGACUAAGCUUAUUUUAUGCAUAUAUAAUUGAAUUAUAUAUAUAUAUCCAAAUCUAUUACUGCACAAGUUGUACUCCGAAGUUAGUACUCUAAACCUAUUACAAGUUGUACUUCAUCAUCCAAAGAUCUACAGGGCAUACAAAUGAUUAUCGUUUUUUGGAAUCAUCAUCUCGUUAGGAUUAUAGUGGAACUCGCCGCUUGGAUUUAUGACUUGUUCACGAAGAAAUCCUGCUAUUGCGUCUUGUAUUGCUUGGAGUUGUUCAUAUUGCAUGAGUUUUUGCCUUAACUAUUCAGUCUUCAGUUUGAACUAAAAGAAUGUAUUAGUAAUAUCAAGAUUAUCAAUAGUUGUUGACACCGUUUUUGGGCACGUGUCUAGGAUGGCAGGAUAAGGUGGCAGUACGAUGUUUACAAAGCGGGUUGCCGAUGAGGAUGGUUGCCGAUGAGGGAGAAGUUGAAUGUGACAGGCAGUAAUAUGGUGCCGAUGGCUAGAUAAGAAAGUCUGCCGAUGACUAUGGCAAAGGAUCUGCCGAUGAUGCAAAGGAGGAGUCUGGAAGCUGCCGGUCGUUAUGUGGAGGAGUUUCGGUUUGUUACGAGGGAUAGUUUUGUUAUUUCCUUAAUUAUUUGCAUCGUUUUGUAUACGGAUUCCGUGUAAUUUGGAAUUCGAAUUCUAAUCGUGUCUGGUUGUAGCUCUUUGAGCAGGGUAUAAAUAUAGACCCUAGGGCCUUGUAAGAAGAAUCAAUCAGUCAAUCAAACAUACGUUUUUACUCAUAUUCCAGCAUCUACUUUUCGACGACUUCAUCAUACUUUUUUCCUUUUAUUACGAGUUCUUAGGAAUUCGUCGACUUAAGCUCGGCGUGUUCUCGAGUUCCGCGUGAGUACCUCUUAGCCGUGACAUCCGGGCGCAUCGCUGUUGUCAGGACUAAAGUAUUCGAGUUAUCACCUUUGCCGAUAGUAAGGUCAAAUCGGCUGGCACGCCUUAACGUUUGAAUCGGGUAUUAGCCCUUUGUGUUUGCAGAUCAGUUUUGCAUCAACACAUCUUUUGGCACGCCUGGUGGGACAGGAUUCAAGAUCAAGAUCAACAUGUCGAUCUCUGACCUCGAUCAAGAGAACGUCAUCCCCGUGACGGAGGCCAACCUCAAGGAUGAGCAGAAGCAAGCUAUUGCCCAAGCCAUGGA
rnacentral:lncRNA from 1 species